AUGUGGGCUCCUCCGAAGUGUAAUUUUUUUGCUUGGUUGAUCUUCCAGAAUCGUGUUUGGACAGCCGAUCGUUUGCUGCGCCGAGGUUGGCCAAACUGUAAUUUGUGCCCUCUCUGCAAGCAAGUGCAAGAAUCUGCUACUCACCUCCUAUCCCAAUGUAGGUUCACUGUCCGGAUUUGGACUGAAAUUUGCACUUGGCUUGGCAUGCUUGACUCAUCACCAAUGAUUUGGCGUCAUGAAGACUCAGUUAAAGAUUGGUGGCUUAAGGCGGUUAGUGGGGGAGGUGACCACAGGAAGGCCACCGCCUCCUUGAUGAUGCUUGUCUCAUGGGAAAUUUGGAAGGAGCGCAAUGCAAGAAUUUUUCAGAAUGUCUUCGCUCCGACCUCUAUUGUUAUUGCGAAAAUCAAGGAGGAGGCUCAUCUUUGGACUUUGGCAGGAGCGAAACAGCUUAGUAUUGUUAUGUCGCGAAAGUAG
rnacentral:rRNA from 1 species